UACGGCUAUAUCAGGGUGAAACAGCGGUUCUCAUAUGAUCACCGAAGUUAAGCAACAUAGACCCUGACCAGUACUAAAAUGGGUGGCCACAUGGGAAUAUCUAAUGCUACA